GUUCUCAACGUGAGAGGGUUUGAGGUAGGCGCGUGUGUUUUCCAGUCAAUGAGAGUGUUUGGAUGGUGAUGGAUUAUCUCUUCAAUUUGCAAUCUAAAGGUGAAUCACUGAGAUCUGGCUUCCUUGAGUUGCCAUGCAGUUAUAGGGUAAAAAUAUCAUUCAGUAUUAUGGCGCGGGUUGAUCUAAGCCUAUCAAAUCAAUGACAUACCAAAGACCAAAGCGGCAAUGGACUCAGACGAGCAAAAGAGGAACAAGCAAAGCAUCCAAUUAAUUUCCUAGCACUGGGAAGUUCAUGCUGCUACAUUAUGUUUCUCAAUGAUAUUGCAUGCUGUUCGAUGAGGAGAGGUGGAGACGAAACCAAGAGCAUUAAUGUAAUUGUGCUAUUUGACAUUUGAAUUCUCACAUGUCUGACUUUAACUUCCCUAAAAAAAAAAAAAAAAUCAUAUGUAAC